AUGACAAUCGAUAAAGCUCAAGGUCAAACAAUUCCGCAUGUUGGUAUCUACCUUCCAGAACCUGUGUUCUCUCACGGUCAACUAUAUGUUGCAUUGUCCCGAGGAAUAUCAAGGCAAACGACAAGAAUACUUGCCAAGCCAAACAGGGAUGUCGACCCAUCAGGAAAAAGUACCAAAAAUAUUGUCUAUAAGGAGGUUUUGGCAUGA
rnacentral:rRNA from 1 species